AACGAACGCUGGCGGCAUGCCUAACACAUGCAAGUCGAACGAGACCUUCGGGUCUAGUGGCGCGCGGGUGCGUAACGCGUGGGAACCUGCCCUUAGGUUCGGAAUAACUCCCCGAAAGGGGUGCUAAUACCGGAUAAUGUCUUCGGACCAAAGAUUUAUCGCCUUUGGAUGGGCCCGCGUUGGAUUAGCUAGUUGGUAGGGUAAAAGCCUACCAAGGCGACGAUCCAUAGCUGGUCUGAGAGGAUGAUCAGCCACACUGGGACUGAGACACGGCCCAGACUCCUACGGGAGGCAGCAGUGGGGAAUAUUGGACAAUGGGCGAAAGCCUGAUCCAGCAAUGCCGCGUGAGUGAUGAAGGCCUUAGGGUGGUAAAGCUCUUUUACCCGGGAUGAUAAUGACAGUACCGGGGAAUAAGCUCCGGCUAACUCCGUG
rnacentral:rRNA from 1 species